rnacentral:rRNA from 1 species
GAGUUUGAUCCUGGCCUCAGAACGAACGCUGGCGGCAGGCUUAACACAUGCAAGUCGAGCGCCCCGCAAGGGGAGCGGCAGACGGGUGAGUAACGCGUGGGAAUCUACCCAUCUCUACGGAACAACUCCGGGAAACUGGAGCUAAUACCGUAUACGUCCUUAUGGAGAAAGAUUUAUCGGAGAUGGAUGAGCCCGCGUUGGAUUAGCUAGUUGGUGGGGUAAUGGCCUACCAAGGCGACGAUCCAUAGCUGGUCUGAGAGGAUGAUCAGCCACACUGGGACUGAGACACGGCCCAGACUCCUACGGGAGGCAGCAGUGGGGAAUAUUGGACAAUGGGCGCAAGCCUGAUCCAGCCAUGCCGCGUGAGUGAUGAAGGCCCUAGGGUUGUAAAGCUCUUUCAACGGUGAAGAUAAUGACGGUAACCGUACAAGAAGCCCCGGCUAACUUCGUGCCAGCAGCCGCGGUAAUACGAAGGGGGCUACCGUUGUUCGGAAUCACUGGGCGUAAAGCGCACGUAGGCGGAUACUUUACGUCAGGGGUGAAAUCCCGGGGCCUCAACCCCCGGAACUGGCCUUGAUACUGGGUAUCUGGAGCCCGGAAAAGGUGA